rnacentral:rRNA from 1 species
GAUGAACGCUGGCGGCAUGCCUAACACAUGCAAGUCGGACGGGAACACGUUUUUCCCUUGGCGGUCGGGUGAGCAACUCGCAAGAACCUGCCCUUGGGAGGGGAACAACAACUGGAAACGGUUGCUACUACCCCGAAGGCACAGUAGCAACACGAGGAAUCCGCCCGUGGAGGGGCUGGCAUCUGAAUACCUAGUCGGUGAGGUAAUAGCUUACCAAGGGGAUGAUCAGUAGCUGGUCCGCGAGGAUAAUCAGCCAACCUGGGACUGAGACACGGCCCAGAAACCUUGGAGAAGCGGCGGAGGGGAAUUUCACGCAAACGGCGAAAGUGUGGCGGGGCUACGCGUCGUAGAGGUAGUAGGCCCACGGAUAGAGGACUUCGUUUCACGGAGAAGAAACAAUAAGGGUAUCAGAGAAAUGAGCAUCGGCUAAUUCUGG